rnacentral:rRNA from 1 species
UACGAAGGACCCAAGCGUUAUCCGGAUUUAUUGGGUUUAAAGGGUGCGUAGGCGGAUUAUUAAGUCAGUGGUGAAAGCUCCCGGCUCAACCGGGAAAUUGCCAUUGAUACUGAUGAUCUUGAGUAUGAUUGAGGUGGGCGGAAUGUGUCAUGUAGCGGUGAAAUGCUUAGAUAUGACACAGAACACCGAUUGCGAAGGCAGCUCACUAAGCCAUAACUGACGCUGAUGCACGAAAGCGUGGGGAGCAAAC